UUCACAAAAGCAGGUCUACAAGUGGUGGUUCAUUACAAUAUCUACACCAGUGACUACUGUGCUUUUGGUGCCUUCGCCCUCUGGGCCUU